CCUGUGUGGGGCUGGGAAUGCAUUCCUUGACAUGUACUGCAAUUUCCAGGAUGUAUUUCCCUUCUCCUUCCUCUUUGGGUGACGCAAAGGGGUGUCAUUUUCUCCGACUCCGCAUUACUGAUGGGAAUCUGAUGAGACGGGUGUUCCGGAGUUUCCAUUUGAAAGUGCAUCAACAGCUGGCAAAACUGCAGAUGACGUCUCUCUGCCACUCAAAGAUAAGUGCCCUGCUGACAGAUGAUUCCCCUUGUUGUUGAGGUGGAGAUGAAGAUGUCAUUGUCCAUUGGAGAAAUAUCUGGUUGAGAGAUGCACUGGAAAGGCGAUACAUGCCACUGCCUGGCAACCCUCUCCAGGAUACACAUGGAGCUAAGGACACCAGUGACCAUCGCCUGGCAACUGAGUGAAGGAGGCCUGUUAUUUAUUUAUUUAUUUUUUUCCCAUUUUCUCCCCAAUUUAGUCGUUAUACCAAUGCUCCUUGUGUAUCACAGUCCUGGUCGAGGCGCUAUCCUCUGUCGGUCUGGGGAGGGUGUAGACUACCACACAGCAGCCUCCGAUACAUGUGUAGUCACCAGCCGCUUCUUUUCACCUGACAGCGAGGAGUUUCACUGGGAGAGCGUAACGCGUGCGGAGGUUCACGCUAUCUCCCCCAGAUCCCCUCUCUGCUGAACAGGCGCCCCAACCAACCAGUAGGAGUCGCUAAUGCAACAAUCAGGACUCAUACCAUACGUAAGAACGUUGGACCAAGCCGGAAGUACCGCUGCCUGGUCUAUGUGGUGGUAGGCAAGUGCUUAUACCUCUACGCUACCUAGACGGCCGAUGCCUGUUAUUGAUGAGGCUAAGGGCAGGGCAGCAUAAUUAAAACAAAGCAGGACUAUAUCUGCAUCUUCUGGGAGUCUGAUUAGUCUGCCACUUCUGAAGAUUCUGACAACUCUGCGCUUUUCCUACAAGCCUGCUUGAUCACUUGCCACUUCUGUUUAGCUAUGGAAAAUUAUUUUGAAGACCGAGUACUGGUUGAAACAAGUUGUCAGAGAUAUUCAUUUUUAAACUUUUGCAAGGGAUUGGUGUUUCCGAGCAUGUGUGUGUGUGCAUGUGUGUGUUCCUGUGUGUGCAUAUUCCAGCCCCUCAUUCGAUCAGCGCUGCACUUUUGGCCAUUCAGCCGCUGAGCUGUUCUGCAUGCCCUCUUUUUUAAAGGAAUGGAAUCAACCAACUCACAGUUAUAACAAAACAGUUGUUAAGACAAAUCAACUCUCAGUUACAAGGAUAUUUUAAAUACUUUAAAUACUUCACAGUGCGGUUCUCUUGAGGCAGCAGGACAGGCCAGACACGGACCAGGAGAGGACAACCUCCUGAAUUUGAUGUGCAACCUCCAGAAUUUAAAAUACGAACUCUUGAAUUUGUUGCACAACCUCUGGGAUUUAAUGUGCACCCUCCUGCAUAUUAUGCCUUCGAGCACACCUACCUGAAUAAUGGAGGGGGCAGGUAGCCCUGACCCAGUGUUCUGUAAGGAAAGUGUAGCUCUUUUGUUUCUUUCUAUUUUCCAUGCAUUGCUUUCAACAUUCUCUUAGAACAUAUUUAUCUUCAGAGAGGGCCACACUGCAUAGGGAAAUGCAAUCCAAGUCCUUGCAUAUUCAUGGCCCCAAAUUAAGGACUCAGCAAUAACUAAAAACGGCAUCAAGAGCCAUGCACAGUUAGAUCAAUCAUUUGACGUGAGCGAUCACCCUUCAUGAAGCCGCAACAGUGAGUGAUGGCGAGUAUUCCCAAAAUGCUGAUUAUAGGAAACAGCUUGUUUCCUGUUGCCAUGGCAACAUACCACUGAUUGUGUUCCGGCCCAAUGACCCAUCAGUCUGCGUCCUUCCUGUGCCCAGGUGCAGGUGGUGGACCACAGUGUAGUAUAAUGCUUAGGGAACUGGACUCACAACUCCAAGGGUGUAGGCAUGAUUCCCAGGUGGAGCACCUAUACAAGUACCCAACCCAAAUUGCUUUGGUGAGUAUCCAACUCGAUAAAUUGUUUGCAUGUUAAAAGAAUGUAAGCUGUUUAAGUCCACUUUAGAUAAGUCUGGUCUGGUUUGUUUAUAGGCUUAUGUGUAUGGGUUUAUGUGCAGUCUCCUUGGAUUUUUUUAUUUUUAGUGUGGACUCUGUUUAGUGCCAGUGCAACAAAUAGCUCCCCAUGGCAGGGUUUUCUAUUAUUAUUUUAAAGCACAGAUAAAAGCUGUGUGGUGUCACUGGAAGCCUGGACUUACCAAGUGGCCCACAGGGCACAUGACUGGCAUGAAAUGCAAAUCCAGCCUUCGGACACUCUGCAGAGUGAAAAAUAUAUCUCAAAAAGGGAGUAUUGUGAUCAGCAUUGCUGAUACGGUAGGGAGUGCGUGAGCAGUUGCAUUAGUGAUGAUGUAGGGAGUAGGGAGUGAGGGAGCUAUUUUGUUUAGUGGUGCUGUAGAAAGAAGGGAACAAUGGAGCAGUUCCAUGUGAUCAGGGACCAAUCAAAUUGCUGACAGAUUAGGUAAUGCCCCUGAUGUUAACGUGGCCUGCACCCGCUCCGCCAAGAGCAAGAUUCACAGGCUGCUGUCAGACAAUUUGGCAAAGUCAGAUGGAGAUCAUAGUUAAUGAAUCCAGCAUGGGAUUUCUGAAUGAUAUGAAGUGGUGGGAAGCUAAACACUUAUGUAAUUAGCAUAUAAAUGAGACCAGUGUCAAGCCUGUGCAAUUACAGAGGAACUGCCCCGAAAUAUGUGCUCUGCAAAUAUAGGAUCAUUUCCCUUCGAGGAGUAAAUCUGUGCAAAGAAAAUCGAAGUGCUCUAAUAUAUUACAUAGACUGUGAUAUUAUUAAUUCAAAGAAAAUGAAUAUGUAAAAACUGACUAAAACUAAAAGGAAGACUGGGGUUUUGCUAAUGCCAGAAUAAACUGCAGCUUUCAGCUUUCAGAGCUUCCUGUAAGAUUGCCAGGGUACCUUUAUUUUAUAUGCCACUGUCAUUUCCCCAUGUAUAUUGUCUCAAACUGGGUUCAGAGUCUAGUGUCCACCUUUGAUGAUUUAUUGUGACCGAAUAUGAUCACAUUAUAUGUUCAUUUCACAUAUAUUGACCCUGGAAACCGAAGGCAUUCUAGUCACAGACCAGUCCCCAUCCUCUAAACAGUUCUAUCACUAACUGCUGCCAAAUUUUAUUCAACAGGUAACAACCUGGCAUACCAUCAGGCAGUCAGUCAUCAAAACAUAACCAAUUACUGCAACCCAACUUCAAUUCCACCAUGCAGAACAGGUCCUGGAGGGCUGCAUUGUCCACAGUUUUUUAUGGCUUGCUUUCAACCUGCAGCCAAUUAAAGACUUGAGAACAAGAUUUAUGGAUUCUGUAACCAAUCAACGACUUAAAUGAAUCACUGGUGCUGCACCAUACUGAAAAUAUGCAGACACUAUGGCCCUCCUAGCUGGUGUCACAAUAGAAAUAAUGUAAUCUAGUUCUGAAAUUUUAUGCACGUUUACAAGUUGCAAGGCAGAGCGGCAUGGUGGUUGAGUGGGUAGCUCUGUAGCACGGUCCUUGGCUAAAAUCCUGGCUUUUCUGUGAGGAGUUUGCAUGUAAUAAGCAAGGAAUAAGCAGGUAUAGAUAAUGGGUGGAUGAAGUUGCCUUGACUAAACUGCUAACCUGCAUGAUAAAUCUUCAAUUGUGAUAAUUUAUGUAAGCAGCUCUGUUUCAAAUCUCAGGGCUUUGAUCCAACUUUAUUCAAUGUUUAGUUAUGAAAUUAACAGUACAUGGGCUGGAUGAAUACUUUCAAUAUAUACAAAAAUGACAAUAUAUGUAACAUACAUGUAAAAUAACAAUUUUUUUUGAAAGAUAUUUUACAUAUUAUAAAUGAUGCCAUUUGCAAAAUACACAUACUGCCUUGGUUGUUUUGGACACUUUCACAUGUUAUAGCUAUAGCUAUGGCUUUACUUCAUCUCUGAAUGGAAAUAAUACAAAAAAUAAUAAUAAUUCAAUGACAUGAUAUGAAAAAUAAAACAAAAUGUUAAAUAAGUAGAUGCCAAUAAAAAGUUAAUGUGUGUGGACCUAAAUGGCAUCAGAAUCCAGGCAAAAAAAAAAUAAAGUGCUCUGGUCUUUUUAUCAGAGAGAGUGACUAAAGAACAAACUCUCGUAAUGAAGUAAAGAAAAUAUAAAGAACUGUAGAAAAUAAAUUUCCAUCUGCCCGUGGCGCUGUAGCAGAAUGUUUGUCAAAUGACCGUUGCCUGUCAGUCUGACACACAGACAAAUUACUCGGCACUUGGUAUUCUGUUCAGGUGCUGUUUGUGCCACACAUGGAAGCCUGAUAGGUGCGAGUAACCACAGAAAGCAGAGUCUCCCCACAGAUGAUCACACCCUUCUUUCACUGAUUAAUGAGCUCAGGUGUCAUUUGUUAUCCUGGCACCUCAGUUAACGAACGGGAAGAGACAUUAGCAUAUCAAAGCGGCUCAUAAUGCACCACAUGAGACUCUCAAAACUGAAAGUUUUCAGUGUUUCAAAAUGCUGCCCGUUUGUGAAUUUGGCAGAGGCUGAACCAGCAGAACCAAGUGGCGACUGCACCAAAUCAGGAAGCUAGAAUUUCCCUGGUUUUCCAAGGUUGGCUCUAUUAAUCAGUCGUGAUGCACUGAAAGACCUCAACUGUUGGCAUGGUCUUGGUCAACUGAUGCAAGAUAAUGUAACUCUUAUGGAUUACCGUUGGACAUCAAGUGAAGACAGCAACUUUGGAAACCUUCUGACAUCAGAGUCUAGACUGAUGGGCAAAGGUGUGUGUGUGUGUACUGUGUAGGUUUCCUUUCAAAUUAUGUACAGGUUGUAAAAUGUUUGUGAUU